rnacentral:rRNA from 1 species
GACGGACGCUGGCGGCGUGCCUAAUACAUGCAAGUAGAACGCUGAAGCUUGGUGCUUGCACCGAGCGGAUGAGUUGCGAACGGGUGAGUAACGCGUAGGUAACCUGCCUGGUAGCGGGGGAUAACUAUUGGAAACGAUAGCUAAUACCGCAUAAGAGUAGAUGUUGCAUGACAUUUGCUUAAAAGGUGCAAUUGCAUCACUACCAGAUGGACCUGCGUUGUAUUAGCUAGUUGGUGAGGUAACGGCUCACCAAGGCAACGAUACAUAGCCGACCUGAGAGGGUGAUCGGCCACACUGGGACUGAGACACGGCCCAGACUCCUACGGGAGGCAGCAGUAGGGAAUCUUCGGCAAUGGACGGAAGUCUGACCGAGCAACGCCGCGUGAGUGAAGAAGGUUUUCGGAUCGUAAAGCUCUGUUGUAAGAGAAGAACGAGUGUGAGAGUGGAAAGUUCACACUGUGACGGUAUCUUACCAGAAAGGGACGGCUAACUACGUG